rnacentral:snRNA from 23 species
GCAUCCUCUCAGGCCUUUUGGCUAAGAUCAAGUGUAGUAUCUGUUCUUUUCAGUGUGACAACUGAAACUCGGAGUUCGCUCCGAUUGUUGUCAAACUUAUUUUUGAUGGUUCGCAGAGCUUGGUUAGUUGCUUGCAACGCCUCGCCGAGCACAGGUGUCCCUCCUAUUGCACUAUCUGGAGGUGACGCCGAGUGCUC